AAGGGGUGUUUAGAACAACAAGAACCGCUAAUUCUUUAAGCUGGGGUUUAAAUCUCCAGACCCCUU
rnacentral:tRNA from 1 species